UUUGCUGCUGAUGAAUCUUGGAGUGUUGGGUAAUAUUGCUCUAAUGUUCUUAUCAGUUAUUAGAGUGACGCACAUUAACUUCAAAAGAUUUCUGAACGAAGGUUAGAACUCAGAAUGAGACAGUAUUUGGAUGUAUUUUAGGCAGAUUCAGUGUUUGUUUAACUUACAGCAGAAUUUCUUGUUUGGUGAGGAAUGUGAGCUCCUAAACACACAAAGCAACACGUUAUAUAAGAACGAUAACAAAACGGCAUCAAAUUUACCUUCAUCCCUCUACAGCACUCAUGGGUUGCAAUACAAGCUGAUAUUUGGUCUUCCUACUAAUGUGCACAUGUGGAUGAAUGCCACUCAGCCGUAAAGCGUGUUCACAGCAAAGUUUCUUUGCAGUUAAUGACAGCCACAAAACUCCAUAUAAGGUAAAGCUCCCAGAGAGCUGAAAGCACAAAAUGAGGACAAAACGGUGGAAGAAAAUGGGUUUCUCUGAGAGAUAAAGGACAAGAACUUGAGCUUUGAAGACUUUUGAAAUCCCUUGAGCACCUUCAGCGAUUCAACAAUCCUCAAAAUCAAAGUGCACUAUGCUUUCAGAAUUUUCAGUAAGGCUUGAUUUAUAGUCUAGUAUCAAAAACUCUCUAAAUAAAUGUUUAUAUGUUUAUUUCCUCUGACUGUGACACAUUAGUGAGUCUCUGUAAUGGAAAUUUAUACUCUAGAGCUCUUGUAAUACAUGUACAUUUUUCCCAACUAAUGAUAUUUUCAGAAAUAUCAAAUUUCUUGUGUAAAAGCUCCUAUGAACUAUUUCCGAAUUUGUUUGCAACGAGCUUGAUAAAUGAGGCCCAUUGUGUAAAUGUUUGGAUCCCAUUGUGUAAAUGUUUGGAUCUUGUAUCUGCUGCGAUCUCUGGGAGCAUCUUCAUUCAUUUAAAUAAUAUGAGGCAUGGUUUCAUGUCCAAUUAGGUACUUCUGUGUAGAAUAUUGCAAUUUUUUUUUUUAUUUUUUUUUUUGGAUGUCAUAAUUUUUUUGUAAACAUUACAUGUAGACCAUAGGCAUGCAGGAUGAGACUACACAUUACUGACCUUUUAUGCCUGUUCCAUCUCCUUAAAGGUGCCAUAUAGAAGAAUGCAAACACAAAGAGCAUUAACCAAAGAGAUGCUGAAAAAGCAGUGUCCAGGUGAUUAACAGGGGCCCAUGACAGUGGGGUGGAACCUGUUCACUUAGGGCACAGCCUCUACCAACAUCUAACUUUCAGCAUUAAAGAAUUAGUUUUGUAUCAAUAUGAGCAUAUGAGCAUGCUGUUAUACUGUAUAUGAGCAUAUGAGCGUGCUGUUAUACUGUAUAUGAGCAUAUGAGCGUGCUGUUAUACUGUAUGUGAGCAUAUGAGCGUGCUGUUAUACUUUAUAUGAGCAUAUGAGCGUGCUGUUAUACUGUAUAUGAGCAUAUGAGCGUGCUGUUAUACUGUAUAUGAGCAUAUGAGCGUGCUGUUAUACUGUAUAUGAGCAUGGCUGUGAUUACCUUCAGCUGAAUCAAUGUUUUAUUUACGUAGGUUCUUUUUUUUUUAUGAGCUCCAUAACAUUAUUAUUGUUAAUGUCAUAAUACUGUUUUUGUCAAUAUUAUUUUUUUUAUUAUAGUUAAUAACAUUAUUACUGCUUAUCUUUGUUAUUGUGAUGUAUUAAAGAAAUGGAAAAACAACACAUUUUUCAUUGCUUCUAAUAUAUUUUUAAGCUAUAGCUAA